GACGAACGCUGGCGGCGUGCUUAACACAUGCAAGUCGAACGGAAAGGCCCUGCUUUUGUGGGGUGCUCGAGUGGCGAACGGGUGAGUAACACGUGAGUAACCUGCCCUUGACUCUGGGAUAACUUCAGGAAACUGGGGCUAAUACCGGAUAGGAGCUCCUGCUGCAUGGUGGGGGUUGGAAAGUUUCGGCGGUUGGGGAUGGACUCGCGGCUUAUCAGCUUGUUGGUGGGGUAGUGGCUUACCAAGGCUUUGACGGGUAGCCGGCCUGAGAGGGUGACCGGCCACAUUGGGACUGAGAUACGGCCCAGACUCCUACGGGAGGCAGCAGUGGGGAAUAGUGCACAAUGGGCGGAAGCCUGAUGCAGCAACGCCGCGUGCGGGAUGACGGCCUUCGGGUUGUAAACCGCUUUCGCCUGUGACGAAGCGUGAGUGACGGUAAUGGGUAAAGAAGCACCGGCUAACUACGUG
rnacentral:rRNA from 1 species